rnacentral:rRNA from 1 species
CAGUAGCCGCGGUAAAACGGAGGGUGCAAGCGUUAAUCGGAAUUACUGGGCGUAAAGCGCACGCAGGCGGUUUGUUAAGUCAGAUGUGAAAUCCCCGAGCUUAACUUGGGAACUGCAUUUGAAACUGGCAGGCUAGAGUCUUGUAGAGGGGGGUAGAAUUCCAGGUGUAGCAGUGAAAUGCGUAGAGAUCGGAAGGAACAUCUGUGGCGAAGGCGACUAUCUGGGCCAACACUGACACUGAGGCACGAAAGCGUGGGGAGCAAACAGGAUUAGAUACCCCUGUAGUCCCUGUCUCUUAUAC